rnacentral:rRNA from 1 species
GGGAGGUAGUGACAAUAAAUAACAAUACGGGGCUCUUUAGGGUCUCGUAAUUGGAAUGAGUACAAUUUAAAUCCCUUAACGAGGAACAAUUGGAGGGCAAGUCUGGUGCCAGCAGCCGCGGUAAUUCCAGCUCCAAUAGCGUAUAUUAAAGUUGUUGCAGUUAAAAAGCUCGUAGUUGAACCUUAGGCCCGUGCGGGUGGUCCGUCCUCAGGGCGAGCACUGCCUCGUCGCGGGUCUCACCUUCUGGCGAGCGCGGAUGCCAUUCGUUUGGUGCCCGCGGGAACCAGGACCUUUACCUUGAAAAAAUUAGAGUGCUCAAAGCGGGCUCAGACGCUUGAAUACAUUAGCAUGGAAUAAUGAAAUAGGACGAUGGUUCUAUUUUGUUGGUUUCCGGGACCGUCGUAAUGAUUAAUAGGGAUAGUUGGG